GGGAGGAGGGAUUGGAAGGGAGUAUACAGUAGGAUGUGAGGGAGUUGGGGGAGGAUGGAUUGGGAGGGAGUAUACAGUAGGCUGUGUAGGAGAUGGGGAGAGGAAUUGGAAGGGAGUAUACAGUAGGCUGUGAGGGAGGUGGGGAGGAUGGAUUGGGAGGGAGUAUACAGUAGGCUGUGUAGGAGAUGGGGAGGAUGGAUUGGAAGGGAGUAUACAGUAGGCUGUGAGGGAGGUGGAGAGGAUGGAUUGGAAGGGAGUAUACAGUCGGCUGUGAGGGAGUUGGGGGAGGAUGGAUUGGGAGUAUACAGUAGGCUGCGUAGGAGAUGGGGAGGAUGGAUUGGGAGUAUACAGUCGGCUGUGUAGGAGAUGGGGAGGAUGGAUUGGAAGGGAGUAUACAGCAGGCUGUGUAGGAGAUGGGGAGGAUGGAUUGGAAGGGAGUAUACAGUCGGCUGAGGGAGUUGGGGGAGGAUGGAUUGGAAGGGAGUAUACAGUAGGCUGUGUAGGAGUUGGGGGAGCAUGGAUUGGAAGGGAGUAUACAGUAGGCUGUGAGGGGGUUGUGUGGCACCCCUUGAGGAAACGUCAGACUAAGAUGGAAACAUAAC
rnacentral:lncRNA from 1 species